rnacentral:lncRNA from 1 species
CAUGCCCGCAAGCGCCCAGGAGCCUCCACCCGAGGCACAGCGGGCCAUACAGGCGUGUCUGGGCCAGCUGGAGGAGGAGUUUGUGUUCAACCCCCUGCUCCUCAACAGUAACCUGUACGCUCACCUGAGGAGCCGCGGCCUGACGUCCCAGCCCAGAUACCCGUACAAGGCAGCUCAGAAGAACCAGGCACAACCACUGGAGGGCAGCAAGAGCACAGGCA